GAUGAAGAACGCAGCAAAAUGCGAUAAGUAAUGUGAAUUGCAGAAUUCAGUGAAUCAUCGAAUCUUUGAACGCACAUUGCGCCCGCUGGUAUUCCGGCGGGCAUGCCUGUUCGAGCGUCAUUUCAACCCUCAAGCCCCCGGGUUUGGUGUUGGGGAUCGGCUCUGCCCUUCUGGGCGGUGCCGCCCCCGAAAUACAUUGGCGGUCUCGCUGCAGCCUCCAUUGCGUAGUAGCUAACACCUCGCAACUGGAACGCGGCGCGGCCAUGCCGUAAAACCCCAACUUCUGAAUGUUGACCUCGGAUCAGGUAGGAAUACCCGCUGAACUUAAGCAUAUCAAUAAGCCGGAGGA
rnacentral:misc_RNA from 1 species